AAUGAACGCUGGCGGCAUGCCUAACACAUGCAAGUCGAACGAUGCUUUCGGGCAUAGUGGCGCACGGGUGCGUAACGCGUGGGAAUCCACCCCUGGGUUCGGAAUAACAGUUGGAAACGACUGCUAAUACCGGAUGAUGACGUAAGUCCAAAGAUUUAUCGCCCAGGGACGAGCCCGCGUAGGAUUAGCUAGUUGGUGGGGUAAAGGCCUACCAAGGCGACGAUCCUUAGCUGGUCUGAGAGGAUGAUCAGCCACACUGGGACUGAGACACGGCCCAGACUCCUACGGGAGGCAGCAGUGGGGAAUAUUGGACAAUGGGCGAAAGCCUGGUCCAGCAAUGCCGCGUGAGUGAUGAAGGCCUUAGGGUUGUAAAGCUCUUUUACCCGGGAUGAUAAUGACAGUACCGGGAGAAUAAGCCCCGGCUAACUCCGUGCCAGCAGCCGCAGUAA
rnacentral:rRNA from 1 species